AUGCACUCAAUGGAAACCACAAGUUAUUUGUCAAUAAGUAAAGCCUGGAAAUCUCAGUGACUACUAUAAAUGACUCACUCAUAAAUACAGUUACAGAACAAGAAGAUUACUCGCCAAGUGCAGCCAUGAGAGAAACACAGCCUUCAAAAUAUAGGUUGUCUAGUAUGAUAAAACACCGGAACCCUGAAUAUGUGUGAAUAUACCAAAAGCAGUACAGAGCAUAUAAUCAAAUGGUGAAUUAGAUGGUGAGAAAAAUAAAGAAUCAAGACUGGUCUAAAUAUAGCAAGUAAGAAACAUCAGAGUGCACAGCUCUAAAUGGAAUAUAUAUGUCACACCCCUUCCACAAGACUUGAAGAUCACUAUGGAAGUAAGACAGAAGAAUGUGAGAGCCAUAUGUACCAAACAUAUGCAAUGAACAGAAUUCUCUGUGUUGUUGCAGGCAUGAACUCAAAGAAACUAUCCUAUAUAUUCAUAACAUUCACAGGAGCAAAUCUUCUAUGCUAAAGUUCCAGCAUAGAAGGUCUAAGGGCCCAUAAAGUACCACCUCUAGACAAGGUAAUGUUCUCAGCUGAUGACUGAUAGAGGAAAAUGUAGUGGUGGAGUACGGGAA